rnacentral:lncRNA from 1 species
CGGAUUCUAAGGGGCCAUCGUCGAAAGAGGGUGGUUCUAUGAAGUCUUCAGGGCGUUCUGGAGGAUCAAAAGUGGAAAUUUCUUCUGGGUCUGUGUUGUCAAAGAAAGUGGUUUCGACGGUUGUGGAAUUGGCUGUUAUGGGCUUGAGUUUUGAUAGGUGGAUGGGUUUAGGGAGGAAGAAUGAUUGGGAUUGAAAGGGUGAAAAACGAGAAGGGGUUGUGUGUAGAGAGAGGGAAGAGAAGGUGGAGAGCGAAGCAGA